rnacentral:rRNA from 1 species
CCCCGUGAACCUUUACUAUAGCUUAACAUUGAUUCUGGGUAAAUAAUGCGUAGGAUAGGUGGGAGACUUUGAAGCGGCCUCGCUAGGGGUCGUGGAGUCAACCUUGAAAUACCACCCUUUAUUUAUCUGGGUUCUAAUCCCUUACGGGAGACAGUGUUUGGUGGGUAGUUUGACUGGGGUGGUCGCCUCCAAAAGAGUAACGGAGGCUUUCAAAGGUACCCUCAGCAUGAUUGGUAACCAUGCGUAGAGUGUAAUGACAUAAGGG